AUAUAAAAGGUAAGGGGCGUUUCCGCCCUAGUUGGAGAACUCCGCGAUUCCCCCUGGAGUGGAACUGCAGCAGCUUGAUCACCUGCCAACGACACCCUGCCGCCGAAGCCUUGCGGCGUAUUCUCCGUGUUGUAUGCCCGAGCUAGACCCGAGCUACCCGGUCUACAAGAGCUCCUCGAUAGCGAUUAUUGUUGCAACUACGAUUGCCUGCGCUGUACACGACUCUACAGUGGAUCACUUGAUGGAGCCUGGAAAUACAGAAAAAGGAUUUAAAUGCGAGGCCAGAGCCCAGGACAGAUUUUGAGGUCAUUGUGUCUGACCGCGUUGAGGACAAAACCUCGGCCCUGGCUGUGUUGGCUGCCCUGAAGGCCAGUUUCCUUGGUGGUCUGGUGGAGGUGGGUCUGUGAAAUACUUAAAAGACACCACAAAAUCCAAGCAGCGGGCCAGGACAGUGCACCAGUCCUCAACCGCAAUGCAGUUUAAGCAGCUGACUAUGCGUGAAAUAGGUUGCAUUGCCUGAUGUACGUCACCAAGGUGCUGUCACCUGUGUGGUCACUGCUGUGCUGUACGGGGCUUCUUUGUGUUUGACUGAGAAGUGUCCUCAUCUGCGGUCAUCCAGGAGAUACAGAGAGCGCUCCAGGUUAUGAUAAAAGAGAUGCUGCUGGUCUCUUUAGAAGGGGAAGAGUCCCUCAAAAUGGAUGACGAAGAGAAAACCCGGGCUGAGAAAUUCAGCUGUAAGGAGAGACAGAGACGUGUGCGGACAUCAAGCCAUGGACAGGUCUGAUGACACAAUCGAGAUGUCGGCACUGGGCCGCCCUUUCCAGCUGGGGAUGCUAUACGACUGCCGCAAGGAGACACUUA